UAAUGUAUUUGAUAUUUAAUGUUGUAUUUAGAUUCUUUUACGUCAUCAGAUUCGUAUCUUCAACUUUUUCCGAUCUUUGAUCUUUAAAUGACUCGAAUAGGUAUGAGACUCGUACCUACUUUAGUAACGGUCCACACCUAUGUUGCUUUCUUUUCCCCAUAUCUGUUGUCGCCCGUGCCUCUUGGCUAUUUAUUGCGUUUUGACCUUUUGACCAGUCCACGUGUCAUGACACGUUAUCUUCAAUAUUCAGACACAGUUUUUUCCCAGUACAGUUACUGUAGAGAACUUUUGCAGUUCUUCAUGAAAUUAGGUGUGAGGAGUUGUUGAAUGAGGAGCUAGAAAAGGUGAAGUUCUAAUCAUGCAAGAGUUGGAGAGUUGGUCUCUCCUGUGAAACUCAAGAAGAAGAGGGAGCUACUAUGGAUAAUAGGUAGCUCAUAUUUGAUAGGUAAGAGAUGAACUUCUCACUUCCUAGGUAACUAUUAGAAGUUUUGUAGGUGCUUUAAAUUUUAAUGAAUGGUCAUGUAUUUCGUUGAUUGGGGUAUCAAAAUUUUAGUUUAUGAGACAAGCUGAUGGAUACUUAUUGGUUUCACAUGUAUUGGAAUAUCAACCUCAUAGCUUAUAGAAGAGUAUGUCAGACAAAUGAAUGGUUCACAUUUCUGACCUUCGGGAUAGAACACAAAUUGAAGUGAGAUAUGUUUAAGUGGUACUUUUUAUGUUUUAUCAUUUAGUAUCUUAAAUACAAUGAAAUUGAUCCAAGAAGAAAGUUCUUGACCUAAAUGUCGACAUAGGCCAAAGGAGGUAGUGACAAGAUGCAAUGUAAUGCAAACGUCCCUUAUGCCAAAUUGCCAAUUAUCUGGGGUUCAGGGACCUAACAGGCAGUGAGGAGUAUGCAAUUUAUGUGUUGUAUUUUUGCCUUCUGAAUUCUUUUUUCGCUGUAAUAUUAGAGCUUCUUGCAAAAUUUUAUGUGUGCGGCUGAAGGAGGUGCUGAUAUUGAUGCAUAUACUGAGGAAAAGUACGUGCACUGGUAUAAAUUGGUACUGUCGUAUUAUACGUGCCGGAUAUGAAUCCGUUCAAAGGUUUAUGCAACACCGAUGUCAUUAAGAUGCAUGAUCUGGUUGAUUGGGAAUUGUGGAUGACUCAUAUUAAGAGGCAAGAAAUGAACUUUUCGUUUCCUCAGUAAACUGUUAGAAGUUUUUUUUCUGUUACUUUAUUUUUCAUAUAUUUGGUCAUGAUAUUUUAUUAACUGUGUUUUAGUGAAUAUUGUAUAUAAAUAUAAAAGAAGUGGAUGGUACCUAUUCGUUUCGGGCACAUUGUUAUAUUACUCAUGAAGAAUUGGCUGCAAGAAAAAAUAAUAUAACUUAAGAGAUCUUUGCCAGACA